rnacentral:lncRNA from 1 species
ACUCUUCUUGGAUGUAUUUGCUUCUUUUUAUUCUAGAGCUUUUAGGUAUGUUGUCCAGCUGCUGAUGUAUGCUCUCUCCUGUUUCUUUUUGCAGGCACUCAGAGCUAUGUGUUUUCCUCUUAGAACAGCUUUCACUGUUUCCCAUAAGUUUUGGUAUGUUGUGUCUUCAUUUUCAUUACAUUCUAAAAAAACUUUAAUUUCUUUAUUUCUUCCUUGACCAUGUUGUCAUUGAGAAGAGCAAUAUUCAGCCUCCACGUGUAUGUGGGCUUUCUCAAGUUUUUGUUGUUAUUAAAGACCAGCCUCAGUCCAUGGUGACCUG